rnacentral:rRNA from 1 species
CCUACGGGCGGCAGCAGUGGGGGAUAUUGGACAAUGGGCGAAACCCUGACCCAGCGACGCCGCGUGAGUGAAGAAGUAUUUCGGUUUGUAAACCUCUAUCAGCAGGGAAGAAAGAAAUGACGGUACCUGAGUAUGAAGCCCCGGUUACCUACGUGCCAGAAGCCGCGGUAAGACGUAGGGGCCAAGCGUGAUCCGGUUUUAUUGGGUGGAAAGGGUGCGUAGACGGUAUUGCAAGUCAGGAGUGAAUGCCGGGGGCUCAACCCCCGAAUUGCUUUGGAAAUUGUGGAACUGGAGUGCGGGAGAGGCAGACGGAAUUCCUGGGGUAGCGGUGAAAUGCGUAGAUAUUAGGAGGAACACCAGUGGCGAAGGCGGCCUGCUGGACAGUAACUGACGGUGAGGCGCGAAAGCGUGGGGAGCAAACAGGAUUAGAUACCCGUGUAGUC